GGGUUGUGAGGUUAAGCGACUAAGCGUACACGGUGGAUGCCCUGGCAGUCAGAGGCGAUGAAGGACGUGCUAAUCUGCGAUAAGCGUCGGUAAGGUGAUAUGAACCGUUAUAACCGGCGAUUUCCGAAUGGGGAAACCCAGUGUGUUUCGACACACUAUCAUUAACUGAAUCCAUAGGUUAAUGAGGCAAAACGGGGGAACCAAAACAAUAAAGUACCCCAACGAAAAAAAAAAAA
rnacentral:rRNA from 1 species